UACGAGGGGGGCAAGCGUUGUUCGGAAUUAUUGGGCGUAAAGGGUGCGUAGGCAGUUUGGUAAGUCUGAUGUGAAAUCUAUGGGCUCAACUCAUAGUCUGCAUCGGAAACUGCCGGGCUUGAGUGUGGGAGAGGUGAGUGGAAUUCCUGGUGUAGCGGUGAAAUGCGCAGAUAUCAGGAAGAACACCCGUGGCUAAGGCGGCUCUCUAGUACGGUACUGACGCUGAGACGCGAAAGCGUGGGGAGCGAACAGG
rnacentral:rRNA from 1 species